rnacentral:rRNA from 1 species
UACGGAGGGUGCGAGCGUUUGUCCGGAAUCACUGGGCGUAAAGGCGCGUAGGCGGCUCAUGAAGGCUGUGGUGAAAGUCCGGGGCUCAACCUCGGAUCGGCCGUGGCGACGUCGUGGGCUGGAGCACUGUAGAGGCGGGUGGAAUUCCGGGUGUAGCGGUGGAAUGCGUAGAGAUCCGGAAGAACACCAGUGGCGAAGGCGGCCCGCUGGGCGAGCUGGCUGACGCUGAAGCGCGACAGCG